UAUUAUAUCUCCGCCCCAGAUUUCUUUUAGGGUUUUCUUAGCGCAUUCUCUUUGUUACUCAGCCCCGUAAACAUUCAGAUUUAGAUGGCCAUGAUUUCUGAUUAAAAAAAAUUGAAACGUUUUUCUCUCUCUUUAACUCCACCAUUAAUCCAAUCAUUAAACUACACCCACCUUUUCCUCCCACUCCGUCUCAUUUAUUCACCCUUCUUUCUUCCAUGAUUAAGACCAUCUCCGACCUAUCUCUAUAAUAGAGAUAUUUAAAAUAGAGGCAAAAAUAGAGGAAUGUUAGAGGGAAAUGAUAUUUUUUUCCUUAAAUGCUCCAAGAAGCUACACCGACCUUAGCUUCAGUAAAUUCAUCACUUUCUUCCUCUCAAACAUUAUGAUGAUGACGCUUGCGGCAUCUGUCUCGUGCCUUUCACUUUCCAGAACCGCCACUGUUACAAGUUGCAAGCAUGAAUAUCACCUUAAGCGCGACAUUGAAUGGUCACAGAGGAGCAGAGAGUGUUCUAUUUGCUGGCAACUGUUUGUCCUCAAAGAUCCUGCUAGGACCAUUUACUUACUUGCUUCAUCAGGUUCCCUUUGUCAAACUCUAAUCCCUGUAACAAAAAUCUGUGGUUUAGAUGCUAAAAGACUCCAACUUUAACGGUGCAAAAGAUUGUAUCAAUCAGUUCAUCAAGUCCUGAGACGUGAACUAGACAUGGUGGAGAAUGAAAAGAAAGAAUGCAUCUCCAACUUCUCCAAGGUCAGUAUCUUUCGUUCAGUUUUUAAAAACAUAUAAAUGUUUAACAAGUUGACGGUCUCGGGAAGCUAUGCUCUAUGUACAGAUAGCACAUAAUCCCAUCUUCUUCCACAGCCCUUUCACGGUUGGAUUGUGGAAAAUAUUCAUAGGGAACCAGCUAGACAUCAACCCAUCAUCGGCCAGUGAAAAAAUCUUCAUACUACAACUCUUCACGUAUAAUAUGUGGAGAGAACAUAACUGCAGGACUUUCAGACAAACUUCCUCUUCGGAGCGAGCGAUCAAUGAAGGACAAGCUUCUCUCCAUUCCGGCUACGUCGUCUACAGCUCACUCUAUGCUCGAGAUCUAAUUCUGCUUCAUUGCACUUUCCAACUAAGGAUGCUCACCUCACUCUCAGUCUGUUUUCCAUCUUCUUUGUUGUCAAUACUGCUAUGUUUCAUCACACUUGUCUGUUUUCAUCUUCUUCUAAUAAAUUACUUGCAACAAACUCUGUAAAUUUUUGAAAAU